GAAAGGGGGCUUCGGCUCUCGCCGGAUGAGGGGUCCGCGUCCCAUCAGCUUGAUGGUGAGGUAAUGGCUUACCAUGGCUAAGACGGGUAGCUGGUCUGAGAGGAUGAUCAGCCACACUGGGACUGAGACACGGCCCAGACUCCUACGGGAGGCAGCAGUGGGGAAUAUUGGACAAUGGGCGAAAGCCUGAUCCAGCCACGCCGCGUGUGUGAUGAAGGCCUUCGGGUCGUAAAGCACUGUGGGGAGAGACGAAAAGCCGUCGGUUAAUACCCGGCGGUCUUGACGGUAUCUCUUUAGCAAGCACCGGCUAACUCCGUGCCAGCAGCCGCGGUAAUACGGAGGGUGCAAACGUUGCUCGGAAUUAUUGGGCGUAAAGCGCGUGUAGGCGGUAGGUUAAGUCGGAUGUGAAAGCCCUGGGCUCAACCCGGGAAGUGCGUUCGAUACUGGCCCACUUGAGUACGGGAGAGGGUAGCGGAAUUCCCGGUGUAGAGGUGAAAUUCGUAGAUAUCGGGAGGAACACCAGUGGCGAAGGCGGCUACCUGGACCGAUACUGACGCUGAGACGCG
rnacentral:rRNA from 1 species